rnacentral:rRNA from 1 species
GGUAGCGUAAUCACCUGUUUCUUAAUUAGAGACCUGUAUGAACGGCACCACGAGAGUCAAACUGUCUCCUUUCUCCAGUCAGUGAAACUAAUCUUCCUGUGAAAAAGCAGGAAUCCCACAACAAGACGAGAAGACCCUUUGGAGCUUAAGACAAAUAAAAUUUUAUGCUUUUCACCACAUACCCUGCAACACCAAAUUUUAACAGUCUUCAGUUGGGGCAACUACGGAGUAAAAACAACCCUCCAAGAUGCAACGGAAUUUUCCUAAACAAAAAGCCACAGCUUUAUGUAUCAACAAAUUGACAUUAUUAGACCCAAUAAUUUGAUUAACGAACCAAGUUACCCUAGGGAUAACAGCGCAAUCCACUCUAAGAGCCCCUAUCGACGAGUGGGCUUACGACCUCGAUGUUGGAUCAAGGUAUCCCAGUGGCGCAACCGUUACUAAAGGUUCGUUUGUUCAACGAUUAAAACCUCACAUGAUCUGA